GUGGGGAAUUUUCCGCAAUGGGCGAAAGCCUGACGGAGCAAUACCGCGUGAGGGAGGAAGGCUCUUGGGUCGUAAACCUCUUUUCUCAGGGAAGAACACAAUGACGGUACCUGAGGAAUAAGCAUCGGCUAACUCCGUGCCAGCAGCCGCGGUAAUACGGAGGAUGCAAGCGUUAUCCGGAAUGAUUGGGCGUAAAGCGUCCGCAGGUGGCAAUGUAAGUCUGCUGUUAAAGAGUCUAGCUCAACUAGAUAAGAGCAGUGGAAACUACAUAGCUAGAGUACGUUCGGGGCAGAGGGAAUUCCUGGUGUAGCGGUGAAAUGCGUAGAGAUCAGGAAGAACACCAGUGGCGAAAGCGCUCUGCUAGGCCGUAACUGACACUGAGGGACGAAAGCUAGGGGAGCGAAUGGGAUUAGAUACCCCAGUAGUCYUAGCCGUAAACGAUGGAUACUAGGCGUGGCUUGUAUCAACC
rnacentral:rRNA from 1 species